ACUCCUUUAGUUUAUAAAAAACAGUUCAUUUUCAUUGAACAGAAGAAUGAUUUCUUGGAGAA
rnacentral:tRNA from 1 species